AAUAGAUACCCGAGGUAGUCCACGCUGUAACGUUGGGCGCUAGGUGUGGGGGGCCUCUCCGGUUCUCUGUGCCGCAGCUAACGCAUUAAGCGCCCCGCCUGGGGAGUACGGCCGCAAGGCUAAAACUCAAAGGAAUUGACGGGGGGCCCGCACAAGCGGCGGAGCAUGCGGAUUAAUUCGAUGCAACGCGAAGAACCUUACCUGGGUUUGACAUGGCCGCAAAACCGGCAGAGAUGUCGGGUCCUUCGGGGGCGGUCACAGGUGGUGCAUGGCUGUCGUCAGCUCGUGUCGUGAGAUGUUGGGUUAAGUCCCGCAACGAGCGCAACCCUCGUUCGAUGUUGCCAGCGGCGUUAUGGCGGGGACUCAUCGAAGACUGCCGGGGUCAACUCGGAGGAAGGUGGGGAUGACGUCAAGUCAUCAUGCCCCUUAUGUCCAGGGCUUCACGCAUGCUACAAUGGCCGGUACAAUGGGCUGCGAUACCGUGAGGUGGAGCGAAUCCCAAAAAGCCGGUNUCAGUUCGGAUCGGGGUCUGCAACCG
rnacentral:rRNA from 1 species